UUGCAGUAUGCACACUGAUCUUUUUCUAGGCGUGGUCGGUCUCUUCUGGGUCUCCAUGGCCCCUGCUGUUUUUCAUCUCUCAGAUCCCCUGUCUGUAUAGUCCUACCCCUUUAUCUACCACUGUGGCCAGAAUUCAAGUCAGAGCCUUCUCCUGCCUCCUUUCUCUAUUAUCUUCGUCUUUUCUCCUCUCUUUCUUUUCUCUUUCUAACUUUUCCUCCUCUGUUUCUCUCUUGUAAUACACCUUUUCAGCCUCUCUAACCACAUCCCUUAUAGUAUAAUCUUGCAAUCUUUCAAUUCGCUGCAGGUUCCUUCUAAUAUCAGGAGCUGAUUGCCCUAUGUAGGCCAUAAUCACUGAAGCCCACUGUCCCUCUGACAUAGUAUCAAAUGGGGUAUACCUCCUAUAAGCCUCCAUGAGUCUCUCUAAAAAAACUGAAGGGGGCUCAGUUGGCCCCUGGAUAACUUCUUUUACCUUAGGCAAAUUAGUGGGUCUACGAGCGGCCCCUCUGAGACCCGCAACUAGUGCCCAUCGUAAUUGGACAGCCGUUCCCUACCUUGUGCUGUGUUAUAAUCCCACUGAGGACGAGUCAAAGGAAAUCCUUCGUCUAUCUCGACUGGUGUCUGGACUGGCCGACCGGCCCCAUCUCGGAUGUUCUUCCAUGCCUCGAGGAGAAUUCUUUCUCUCUCCUAGGUGGUGAACAGGGUUUGUAGGAGCUGUUGGCAACCAUCCCAGGUGGGCUGGUGUGAGUACAUCAGAGACUCUAUCAACCCUUUAAGCCCUGUAGGAUUUUCUGAGAAAGGGGGGUGGUUUACUUUCCACUCAUAGAAAUCAGAGGAAGAAAAAGGCCAGUAUUGCAGAAGCUGUAGAUCGUUCUGGCUGGCAGGGGGAGCUCCAACAGCCCUAAGGGGAAGUGCCAUCUUAGAAACGACUGGCCUGUCACUGGGGGCUCCCCGCUGGCUUCUUGUUCCUGCUGAGGGACCUCCCUCCCCGAUCCCUAGAACCAAAGUUGGAGCCAUGGAGCUGAGGGUUGGGGUACAGGUUGGAGAACCGGGAGAUAAGGUGGUGGUAGAGAGUCGGGCCAUUCAGGGGGCCACUCUAUUUCUGGGUAGAUUUUAGUAAUGGCUGCUGGCUGCAGCGGAGUAGAUUUUUUGCUGGCUUCUCCAGGGAGUAGUUUCGAUUUCCCCUUCUCAGCAUUUUCUCGGACUAUCAAAACCUUGGGACCUGGACGUAGGGGUGGGAGAAAUGGACAAACCCACGCUGGGGGAAAUCACGCUAAAUCUUCCCACACUGUGAUGUAUGGUUGCUGGACUGGGUGCGAUCCUGGUCCUUCCUGAAAAACAACGGCCUUUACGGCCCUAAUGGUGGGGAGAUCAAACGUUCCUUCGAGAGGCCAACCCACCCCAAAAGUGUGCCAUUCCGAGGUACAGUAAGCGUGCCAAGGUUUCUUCUUAACUAUUACUGAUAGAUUUUGUCCUCUUGCCCUAAUGUCCGUCCAAUGGUCCUUAGUCAAAGAUAUUGGGGUUGAGACAGUCUGUCCCAUGACAAAAACCAGAAACAGAGACAAAAUGAAGACAGAGACAAGGGAUACCAGAACGUCCAAGCAUACUCAUCCCUGCCUGGACCCAUACAACAAGCGAAACGCUACCUCUGACGGGCUGGGAUUCAGCGUCCACUCCUGCUCUGGCAGAAAGAGCACCUGAUCUCCCUGGCUCUGCCAGAGGACAGCUGGGUCGUCCCGGCUGUCUCUGACCCUGAGCACUUCCUCCAGGGUCACCCUUGGAACGUCUUCCCAGGGUUGCAGCUUGUGGACUCAAGACAUCUCCUUCCACAGCCACUGGACCCACACGGACCUCCGUGGCAGCUGCCAGAAUACUAAAACUUGAAAACCGAGACACAGAUUCAGCGGCACCGCACUCAGACACACCAAACUCACACAGACGCACCUCCAAGGGGUAUUCUUGGGGUUCUUUGUGCUCCCAAAUCCCAGACAAGCCCCCAGAUGUAGGAACCCCCCCAUAUGGGGACCUCCACUCUAAUCCAGGGAUAGUGUGCACCCACGAACACGCAAGAAUCCUUCUUGUUGCAAUACAUACGAGGCUUUAUUGGCAGAGCUCUGGGCCGACACAUAACUCAAACAGGAGGCAGGGAAGUCGACUCCGAGUCUCCAGAACUAGGGGUUUUUAUGAAAGAAAAAGGGAUAGGGGUGUGAGGAAUUUCAACAAAGGUAUGGGAUUGGCUCAUUCAAACAUUAACAGUAAGAUUACAUGUCAGCCAAAGGGCAUCAGGACCUUCUUCCUGUGGGCUGGGGGCUUAUCUUUGUUCACAUAGCAACCAGUUGAUGUAUGACUUUACUCUGGCACCAAGGGGCAGUAGACAGAGGGGAGGUUCUGGCCAGAUAGUAUCGACUCAGACAAGAUAUCCUUGCCUGCGUCCUUGCAUUCCUUUUCAUCUUUACAGGAGAGCCCUGCCCUGGCAUCUGGGCUCCUAGAAAACUCUUUUACAUGAAUCACAAGUUACAAAAUCUCAUUUUCCUUCACUAGCUGAGCCAUGUGAGACAGCUUACCACUCACUGGAGGCUUUGUCAUCUUCCAAAAUCCCCUCUGGGCCUUCAGUUUUGACUCUAAAUUCCAUCUUUUUGGCUAGAGCACCUAGUUCUCCUGCCUAGGAAUGUGCAUUUGUAGCACUGGGCACUUGAAAGUAGGGACCACAAUCCAGCAUGACUCAAGCAUCUAUACUUCAAGAACCCAAGAGACUGGAAAACACUGGAAAAAGGUCCUGACUGCCUGCUCAAGUAUGGGUUUCUCUGGUGAUGCACUCUCCCAGGUGAUGGGGUGUAUCUGUCAAGAAAGAGGCUAAGGUGGAGGUGGGGGGCUUUCUGCUGCUGGGAGCCUGCUUUCUUGUCCUUUUUGGAGAGUUAUUUGGCUAGCUUGCUCUAUGACUGUUGGUCCUCUGUCUGAAGCAUCUGUACUGAAUCCUUGUCCCCUUUGGAUGGGAAUAGGGGUCACUGUCACUGACUGCAGUGGCUGAGAGUUCCUGUGGCUCAGGGCUAGCUGCUGGAUAUUGAAGAGUCUAAGCAGCUCUUAGCAUUGUAAAGGUGUGUUUUCCCAUCUGGGUGUAUUGGAUCAUUGCAGGGCGGGAGGACUAUGCUCCACGGAGUCCCUCCAGGACUGAGGCUUCUUUACAUAGAGCCCUUCUUUACUAGAGUUUCGUAAAAGGGUCAAUCUUACCCUCUCUUCCUCCUUAUCUCAUACUGCUUAUGCCAUUGGUCUCAGGUGCUUAAGAUCACCAGACACAUUCCCAUUGUCACAACCCUUUAUUUGAAUGACAUUGCAUGCAGGAGCAUGUCUUCAAGCCAUUGCUCCUCAGAACAAGGUCCUGAGGAUCAAACUCUUCCUUUUCCCUUUUCUACAUCCCAUGGACCCUCAACAGCUCAGAGGUAGCCCUGAAACAUGGAUUGAAGGCUCCCGGGUGGUCUCCAUCCUCCUGAUGCUUAUGCCUUGUUCUUUGCAUCCAAAGAGGGUCACUUGGGAUCUGCUUGAAUGUGAGUUAUGUCAAAGUUCUUGCUGCCUCCAAAUUAGUAUUAGUACAUCGUGGGAACAAGACCAUCUGUGUGUGUGUGUGUGUGUGUGUGUGUGUGUGUGUGUGUGUGUACUAUAACCACAACAACAAGAAUGUCCAAAACCAAUGCAAAGCAUGAAUUCUAAUUAGCAGCCUGAUACCAUGGAGGAGGCAAAGGCUGGGCAGAGGCACAGCCCUGUGUUCUGGAGCUCCCACCUCUGAAAUAUUUGGUAAGGAGCAGAUCUUCAAGCCAUUGGGAAGGGAAUGAGAAAUAAGGGAAACUAAACCUCUCCUCCAACACCUCCAAGGCUGUGUGCACUGCAGCCUCCUCCCGGCAGAUAUCUGCACAGCAGGUACCAGGAGUUUGGCAUUCUAGUAGCAUCUGUUAGAUGAUAAAUCACAGACACAGCAGUGAUGUGUGUUCAAUAUGGUGAGUGGAUGCUGCAUGCAUGAGCUGGAAACCAAGGGUCUAUGGCAAGGCUGUGGGGUGCAGGGCUGUUGAUCAUGAAGAGGAGCCACAAGUACAGGGCUAGGUAUGGGGGGCAAUGCAGCUGUUUCCACAUUGCCCUCUCUGGGACUAUCAUACUAACACAAUCCCAUACCCGGUUAUCCUGGAGUCAGGUCCUGGCUCACUUAGGAGAGGUUCUGCAGCUCUCUGAUGAUCAGUUCUCUGGAUAGCAAGAUGUAUCUGAUGGUGACAUUUCUAAGUGAACUCCAGGCCAGUGACACAGUGUAAGUUUCCCUGUGUGAAUGGUUCAGUGGUGAGGAACUUGGAGCUACAUGGAUUCACCGGGUCUAGGUCUUUUCUCUCCAAUACUAGUAUUUGAGCAGGGGACCCCACACCUCCCAUCUUCGUCCAACCUGGCUUCUCUACCUUUUACCUGCUACCACACCAAACUCUUCCCUCUUUCCUGGGGUUUCCUGCUCAUCUUGUUCACAGUUUUGUCUCCUGCCUGAGGGCCUCCUGAGGGCCUGCCUCUGACAGUAACAUCCUAGUAGCCACCUCCUGAGCUCAGCUCAUUGUCCCUUCCUCUAGGUACUCCAGUUCCCUUCUCCCUCCCAUGCCCUCCUUUUCGCUCUCCCUCAUUUAUUCCUUCCUUCCCUCCUUCUUUCCUUCCUUCCUCCUCCUGUCCUUCCUCCCUUCCUUCUCCAUCAAUAUUCCUGGAUUUCCCCAGACAUCUCUUUUUGCACCUCUUGUCCUGCUCACUAAGGGAUUCUUUGGACCAAACAUCACUAGGUAUGCAACCCUCCCACUGUUGGCUGCCCUAUUCUUACCUACACCUCCAUGUUCCCAGGGUGGCUUCAACUUUAUAUGUGUUUUGUUAAUUGAGUUUCCAAAAUGAAUCACCUACAAUAAAACUAGGGCAUUUCUAUCACUUCCCAAAGAGUCAUGAUAUGGUGUUACUCUAUUUUGGGGUGUGGAUUAGAGCCCUGGGUAGUGGACUCCAUAGAGAGCAGCUCAUCUGUAUGCUCAUCCUAGGCCUGUGGUGACCUCUCAGCCACCAGCAGUCACAUUUGUCCUCUUAGGGCAGAGUCUCUGUGGCUGGAGAAGUUGAUAUUGUGUGCUCCUGUUCAGAGCUGAAUGUAGUUAGCUUCUGGGGUUACUUCCAGCUAGCACUGGCCACCCUGUCAUGCUCAAUGUCCAGUGAGCAAGGGAGAGGUUGGCUGACUCGUGGUAGAAGCAAGGCUGUGAGAUGGGAAGUGCAUGUAGCAAGAAAAGAGAGUAUCUGGUAGUAUGCCAUCACCAGGGGACUCAAAAGAGCCUGCAGCCCUUUAUGCAGGUCCUCCAGGACCCUAGUUCUGCGUUUCAGUUGUUUUUUGUUUUCGAGACAGGGUCCUCUCUCUGUAAUCCAGGCUGGCAUGGAGCUCAAAGUUAUCUGGCUGCCUCUGCUUUCUUAUUGCUGGGAUUAGAGCUGUGUACCAGUGCCAAGUCUCUGUCUCUAUUUCUUGUUCCUGAAGCCCCUCCCAGACAGGCCUUAGCUUAUAGUGUUCUAUCAACUCAGAAGUUCUUAGACAUGCCACCAGUCAAGAGUAAGAGGCUGGGCGACUAUGAUUUGGGAAUUCUUCUUCUUUGAGUAGAAAAUGAAAUCUAAGGGGACUGAGAUCCUGGAGAGAGGGCUCUUGCUGUUCUUGUACAGGACCCCAGUUCAGUCCAGUUCCCUACACCCACAUGGUGGCUUAAAAUUUCUGUACUCCAGUUCCAGGGAUCCGGCAUACUACUCAGGCCUCUGCUAGCAGACAGGCAACCUCAGAAUGUAUUAUAUAACAAGAAAAACAUUUGUAACAUACUACAUAAAUAAAUAUUCUUAAAGCUUUGAAAGAGAAAAAAGGAAAAGAACACAUGUACACAUUUUGACAUCUUAAAACUGCAAAUGACGUUUAAUCACAGCACUAGGGAGGCAGAGUCAGGUUGAUUUCUGAGUUUGAGACUAGUCUGGUCUACAAAGUGAGUUUCAGGAGAGCCAGGGCUAUACAGAGAAACCCUGUCUCAAAAAACAAAACAACAACAACAACAACAAAAACAAAACAAAAAAACCUGCAAAAGAGCCAGGCUUUCUGGCUCACACCUAUGACUGCUAGACAGGGGAGGCAGGAAGGUAAGGGUGCAGGUUGUCCUCAGCUACAUAGUAAGUUUGAAGUCAGGGUGAGCUACUGUGGGGAGCAGAUGUGGCAGCAGUCCCAAGAUGGCGCCCGGGACUGCAGCCAAGUCUUAUGACUUUUUCCUGACUUCCUCAUACACCUGAAAAUAAGCCAUGACCAUCGUGAGAACUGCGCAGGUGCACCAUGAUGCAAGAUCGGACCAUAUGACGAGUGAUGAUUCUGGCCAAUGGACUGCUGUUACAUGGACUGGGCUGAUGGGGCAUGGAUGAGGCGUUAUAUAAGGGAUUGCGAUUCAGGGCGGAGAGAUACACAAGAGACUAUUCCUGGAGAGAGAUUCGUGCAUGCAUGUUGAAAGGUUCCUGAAUAAACUGCUUUGAGAAGAACUUAGUGUCAUCACUUUUUUCUGCUGGUUGGAAUCAGAGGCGACAAAUGGUGGCCCGUGUGGGGACGUUCAGAACUCAUCCCAGUCAGGGCAGCUAGCUGGAUCACCGACAACUGCUGUGGAUCCCAGAGCAGCUGACCAGAGCAAUUCAGGGCAAGCAGAGCGAUGAGGACGUGGAUAUUCCUUUGGCUGGGAAUGCUCCCGCUAGUGAAAACUGAAGAGCUACAUUGGGGAAUUAUGUCUGUGUUCCUGAAAACCAUGCCAUUGACGCAUUUGGCACAAGUGUUUCCUCAAUUCUUUACAUCUAAUGCUUCACUACAAUUGCCUUUUUUAUCAUGGGAUGGAGAGAUAGCUCCAGUGCGGGAAUCUAUGCUGCUUCAGAUAAGGGGAUUGUUGUGUUUUCAGAUGAUUCAAAAUAUUUCACAGAUGAGUGAUUGUGUUCAGCUGUAUCUACUAAAGUUAAUGCUACCUGGAUUCGAGGGGUGUGGCCUGCCAGUAUAUCCAAGGGCAAUAGCACUAUACCCUCCUAACCUAGAUGGACCCUUUUUUGUAGGAGUGUUCGUGAUUCCCUUCCACCUUGGACCAGCUGUCAAUCUAGAAAAGUACCUUGGGCAGUGAAGAAUUAUUUUUCGUUUUCCCCUUAUAUAGGUACAGUCCAUAAUAGUUCCUUUUCAGGGUAUAAUUGGACAUAUCAAAAUCCAGCUCAAGUAGGAGCUAGUAAUCCUUUUAAUGUAUGGUUGUUAGGUGGGGUGAAUGGUAGUUGCACUGAUCUUUCCCCCUUAAGCAUGGAGGCGGGAGGGGCCUGGGGCAAUGCGAGUUUUUAUUGGAAUGGUUCUAAUGUGUUUAAAACUUCUGUAUUUCAAUUUGCUGGAGGGAGGAAUGCUUCAUUUCAGUCUAUGCCUGUUUGUAUGUGGCCUCCUUUUGUUUUUAUUGUUUAUAAUGGUAGUUAUGAGAAUAAUGUUGUUAAUUGUAGUAGUGAUAUUUGUUAUGAUAGUAUGUGCUAGAAUGCAUCUGAAUAUCAUUUAGCUGUUGUGACUAGAAUGCCUCGCUUUGUACCUUGGCCUGUUCAGGCUCCUUCUGCUAUGACUUUGUUUGGACCAAGAGGGAUUUUUGGCAUUGCUGCAGCCAUUGUCACUGCUGUAGCAAUCUCUGCUACUGCAGCCACCGGUGUGGCCACAUCCCUUACAAACUGCCGCGGCUGUGAAUUUAACCGUUGGUGUUGCAGAAGCUUUGGAUUGCUGACCACUGUCUUCCGCUUGGAAGAGUGAGCCGGAAUUGAUGGACUUGCCCUGUGUCUGAUAUUAAUAAGCAUCCUGGCCUUCUGAUGCACCUGCCGCAAGCAGAGUCGUCAGCGCAGAGCCCAAGCCUUGAUGAUACAGGCUUUUGCGGCAGUGAAAACUGGACAAUCUCCUCAUGUGUGGCUUGACAUGCUAGAGAAGUAGUCAAUGACGGGUAAGACUCCCUGGGCGUGUCACCAACCUAAGACAGGGAUCAAACCAAUGCUGUUUGUCUCCCGAUGAUGGGUAAGGGGCAUUGCCACAGGGUGCAACCUAAGACAGCCAUUCUCUCUGCCAAUAAGUACAGAAGGGGGAGAUGUGAGGAAUGGGUGUGGCAGCAGUCCCAAGAUGGCACCCGGGACUGCAGCCAAGUCUUAUGACUUGUUCCUGACUUCCUCAUACACCUGAAAAUAAGCCACGACCAUCAUGAGAACUGCUCAGGUGCACCAUGAUGCAAGAUCAGACCAUAUGACGAGUGAUGAUUCUGGCCAAUGGACUGCUGUUAUGUGGACUGGGCUGAUGGGGCGUGGUUGAGAGGUUAUAUAAGGGAUUGCAAUUGGGGGUGGAGAGAUACACAAGAGACUGUUCCUGGAGAGAGAUUCAUGAAUGCAUGUUGAAAGGUUCCUGAAUAAACUGCUUUGAGAAGAA